GAUGAACGCUGGCGGCGUGCCUAAUACAUGCAAGUCGAGCGAACAGACGAGGAGCUUGCUCCUCUGACGUUAGCGGCGGACGGGUGAGUAACACGUGGAUAACCUACCUAUAAGACUGGGAUAACUUCGGGAAACCGGAGCUAAUACCGGAUAAUAUAUUCAACCGCAUGGUUCAAUAGUGAAAGACGGUUUUGCUGUCACUUAUAGAUGGAUCCGCGCCGCAUUAGCUAGUUGGUAAGGUAACGGCUUACCAAGGCGACGAUGCGUAGCCGACCUGAGAGGGUGAUCGGCCACACUGGAACUGAGACACGGUCCAGACUCCUACGGGAGGCAGCAGUAGGGAAUCUUCCGCAAUGGGCGAAAGCCUGACGGAGCAACGCCGCGUGAGUGAUGAAGGUCUUCGGGUCGUAAAACUCUGUUAUUAGGGAAGAAAAAAUGUGUAAGUAACUCUGCCCGUCUUGACGGUACCUAAUCAGAAAGCAACGGCUAACUACGUG
rnacentral:rRNA from 1 species